CAAAUAUCCCUCUAAAGCUGUGGUUUAUGGCUUUCAGAAGUUCUCCACUUCGUGUGCUGAACUCAGAGCACUCUGCUCUCCCCUUUCAUUAGUUUACAUGGUAUUAAUGAUAUUCAUUUUCCCUCCCCACUUCUCCCCAUCCUGAUUAUUUUGGUUUCAUGCCGUGGCAAACAAUUUCCUUUGUAGCUUAUGAGAGCUGAAAACAAAUUCCUUAAGUAUUAAGUGUUUCACACAACUGGUAACUUAAAACCCGGUGGAUGAUGCAUUCAGACAUCGAAAACACCCUUAACAGAAUGACAAUCAAAAGUCUAAAGAAACGUUUUUCAUUUUCUCCCCCUGCCUGGCAGGCCUCCCACGGCAUCACCAUGCAGCUCCAGCAGCAGUUGGGAGAAAUGAGUCUGGAAAGUAAACUCGUCUCCUCAGCGUGGAGCUGGGAGGUAAAUCCACUCUGUUUGUUCCAUUUGACGCUGUAGUUUCAUAAACACGGGGAACAAGCUCCACCAGAUGCCCAAAUCAGAGAUUGUUGUUAAUACAAUUAUCCUUGUAUGGCCACUGAAUGGGUGGAUGAUGACAUUUGCAUACAUAUAGAAUUUAAUCUGGAAUCACUGGGCGGUUGUUUUUUUUUUGGUUUGGUUUUUUUUUUUUUGCACAAAACCGUAUAAAUUUACUAAAGCGUUCUCUGCAUAACAGAGCUUUUUAUUGACAGCUACUUGGAUUCGCAGACAGCUUAUUUUUCAGCCGUGUCCUCCUCUGACGGGGGUCACAUCCGUUCACUGCACAUGGCACUGACUCCUCGUGUCACAGCGAGUCACAGCGAGCGCGGUGCCCGCUCCUGCCGGGCUGGGAGGUGUCAGACAGCUUGUGUCCUCCACGGGCUCCUCGCUUCCCUGAGCGAUCUGUCGUAAGGAAGAGUGGCAAAGAAAGAAUUUUUCAGCUGGCAGUUGAUGAAGAGCACAAUGAAUGUCACGGUCAAGAGCAGAAAGAAAAACAGAAUGAUGAGCUCCAGCGCAGCGUCGCUUCCCUCCGUGGGAAGGGGAGAAGUGCGUGGUGGUGCCGACCAGCUCCGCAGCCCGUGGUGCAUCUGGCAGUGACACGAUGCUAAAAAGGAAGAGAUCUUCGGAUAAAUUCCCGUGCACAAGGAUAGGAUAAAGUUGCUGUUUCUGUUCUUACAGCAGAGCUCAUCUGAAAGAUUUUCACUGUUCACCGAAGAUAUUCACCCAAAAAUGGAGGAAAAAGGCUCCUAGACCUGUACAUCGGAUUUUUGUCUGGUUAUUCCUUGUUCUGUGGCGGAGUCUGAAUCCUGGAGAAGAAUUUGAUAUAUAUUAUCAGCACUCUAUAUUUUGGAUCCAUUUAAUUACAUAAGUGACAACACAACAUCCCUGCCUGGAGCAGACCCAGCCUUGAACCAGGGGAAAGAUAAUUCACGGAGUGAUGCUUGAUCCAGCCAAGAUCUCCACAGGUCCAUCAGAGCCACCACAGCUGCACCUGCUGCAAGGUGACAUAUGGCACCAUCCCUGGGGGACAGUGUGUGACAUCCUCAGGAAUUGUCAUCACGGCAUUUGCUUUUAAGAGGAUUUCCUGUGGCUCCCAAGAAAUGAAGAGAUGCUUCUUCCUGACACACCAUGGACAAGAAGUGACUGAAAUGAGACAUCAGAGACGCCAGUGUGGAGAGGGAAGAGGACAGCUCUGGGGGUGUGUCCCAGUUUCCAGGCAGGAUGGAAGCAGGGAUGCAGUGCUGUGUGCUCAGCGUGUGCUGUGGCACAUGGAACGAGGGAAUUCCUGCCUGAAUCUCUUCCUAGAAAGCCUCCAAACAUGGUUCUGGCCUGAUAUGGAGCAGAAGAAAUAUGGACAGAUAACUUCCCAUCCUGACUCCCUGAUUUAUUCUGAUUCUCUUCAGCAGGACAAGGGGCAAAUGAAAAAUGGGGGCUGUUGCUGACAGAUCCUGUGGCAUGUGCAGCACAAGGACUGCUGUUCCCAGAACUGCCUGUCACUUGGAUUCUCUGUGUGCUGGUGAUGUGAAUGGCUUCAUUACUGAGUUUGACUGACCUUUUCCAAGCAGCUUGGCAGCAGCAGAGCUUUCAGCUUGGCAGUGCUGGCUCCCAAACGUUACCUGGUGACUGGCUGGGGGAAAGGCAAAGCUGCAAAUCACCUUUGGAAUUCCUCCUCCUUAUGUGGGGGGCGUU